CCCUUAGAGUUUGAUCCUGGCUCAGGAUGAACGCUAGCUACAGGCUUAACACAUGCAAGUCGAGGGGAAACGACAUCGAAAGCUUGCUUUUGAUGGGCGUCGACCGGCGCACGGGUGAGUAACGCGUAUCCAACCUGCCCACCACUUGGGGAUAACCUUGCGAAAGUAAGACUAAUACCCAAUGAUAUCUCUAGAAGACAUCUGAAAGAGAUUAAAGAUUUAUCGGUGAUGGAUGGGGAUGCGUCUGAUUAGCUUGUUGGCGGGGUAACGGCCCACCAAGGCGACGAUCAGUAGGGGUUCUGAGAGGAAGGUCCCCCACAUUGGAACUGAGACACGGUCCAAACUCCUACGGGAGGCAGCAGUGAGGAAUAUUGGUCAAUGGACGAGAGUCUGAACCAGCCAAGUAGCGUGCAGGAUGACGGCCCUAUGGGUUGUAAACUGCUUUUAUAAGGGAAUAAAGUGAGUCUCGUGAGACUUUUUGCAUGUACCUUAUGAAUAAGGACCGGCUAAUUCCGUGCCAGCAGCCGCGGUAAUACGGAAGGUCCGGGCGUUAUCCGGAUUUAUUGGGUUUAAAGGGAGCGUAGGCCGGAGAUUAAGCGUGUUGUGAAAUGUAGAUGCUCAACAUCUGCACUGCAGCGCGAACUGGUUUCCUUGAGUACGCACAAAGUGGGCGGAAUUCGUGGUGUAGCGGUGAAAUGCUUAGAUAUCACGAAGAACUCCGAUUGCGAAGGCAGCUCACUGGAGCGCAACUGACGCUGAAGCUCGAAAGUGCGGGUAUCGAACAGGAUUAGAUACCCUGGUAGUCCGCACGGUAAACGAUGGAUGCCCGCUGUUGGUCUGAAUAGGUCAGCGGCCAAGCGAAAGCAUUAAGCAUCCCACCUGGGGAGUACGCCGGCAACGGUGAA
rnacentral:rRNA from 1 species